UCGAGAGGCUUUGUCAAUGGGGGAAACCCUGAACCAGCGACGCCGCGUGGAGGAUGAAGGCCCUUGGGUUGUAAACUCCUUUUGCCGGGGAAGAAGUGCGAUCAGGUGAACAAUCUGGUCGUUUGACGGUACCUGGCGAAUAAGCUCCAGCCAACUCCGUGCCAGCAGCCGCGGUAACACGGGGGGAGCAAGCGUUGUUCGGAAUCACUGGGCGUAAAGGGCGGGUAGGCGGUCAGGUAAGUGGAAUGUGAAAUGCCCCGGCUCACCCGGGGACCGGCAUCCCAAACUGCCUGGCUUGAGUAUGGGAGAGGAUGGAGGAAUUCCUGGUGUAGCGGUGAAAUGUGUAGAUAUCAGGAGGAACACCGGUGGCGAAGGCGUCCAUCUGGCCCAAUACUGACGCUGAGGCGCGAAAGCUAGGGGAGCAAAUG
rnacentral:rRNA from 1 species